UACAGAGGUCUCAAGCGUUGUUCGGAUUCAUUGGGCGUAAAGAGCUCGUAGGCGGUUCGGUAAGUCGGGUGUGAAAUCUCCGUGCUCAACACGGAGCGGCCACCUGAUACUGCCGUGACUCGAGUCCGGUAGGGGAGUGUGGAAUUCCCGGUGUAGCGGUGAAAUGCGCAGAUAUCAGGAGGAACACUGAUGGCGAAGGCAGGUCUCUGGGCCACUACUGACGCUGAGAAGCGAAAGCAUGGGGAGCGAACAGG
rnacentral:rRNA from 1 species